rnacentral:rRNA from 1 species
AUUGAACGCUGGCGGCAUGCCUUACACAUGCAAGUCGAACGGUAACAGGUUAAGCUGACGAGUGGCGAACGGGUGGGUAAUGCAUCGGAACGUGCCCAGUCGUGGGGGAUAACGCAGCGAAAGCUGCGCUAAUACCGCAUACGAUCUAUGGAUGAAAGCGGGGGACCGUAAGGCCUCGCGCGAUUGGAGCGGCCGAUGUCAGAUUAGGUAGUUGGUGGGGGUAAAGGCUCACCAAGCCAACGAUCUGUAGCUGGUCUGAGAGGACGACCAGCCACACUGGGACUGAGACACGGCCCAGACUCCUACGGGAGGCAGCAGUGGGGAAUUUUGGACAAUGGGCGCAAGCCUGAUCCAGCAAUGCCGCGUGCAGGAAGAAGGCCUUCGGGUUGUAAACGUGCUUUGUACGGAACGAAACGGCUCUGGUUAAUACCUGGGCGUAAUGACGGUACCGUAACGGAAUAAGACACCGGC